CUGAAUACCAAGAACUCCUCACUCGAAUCUGCCGAAGCCGUGGCUGUUCAGCUCCUCUGAUAAUCAAUCCACUCGUUUAGAUGCCUGAAUAUGAAUGUUAGUGCCAGACUUUGGACAGUGACAUAGGAAGAUAUUGGCCUGAGCCUAUGCAUGGACUCUCAUCCUACAAUCCAGCCACUCAACAGAUACAUCCCAGCUUCUGACUGUGAGCCAUUCAGCUACAAUGGGGAGGCCUAGAUGCUAGGCCCACAUGAGAGAGGGAAGGAUUUCAGGCCCAAGGCCCAAGUGGAGCAGGAAGAAGCACACGCUCACCUCAGUUGCCUUCUUUGCUGAGGGCGCACUGUCCAGCACACCGGCAGACAGACCCAGAUCAGAAGGCCUGGACUUGUUACGCGAACGCCAGAAGGGCUGAGGUGCUGUUUCCCGAGGAGCUGUUCCAGGACUAGCGAGGAGCCUUUCCAAGCGUCACAGAAGGACGGGCCAGAGUUAACGUGGUAUCGAGUUGUUUGUUGCAUAAUAAAGCUGCUGCUGAUUUCCAA